UACGUAGGGUGCAAGCGUUUAAUCGGAAUUACUGGGCGUAAAGCGUGCGCAGGCGGUGAUGUAAGACAGGUGUGAAAUCCCCCGGGCUUAACCUGGGAACUGCAUUUGUGACUGCAUCGCUGGAGUGCGGCAGAGGGGGAUGGAAUUCCGCGUGUAGCAGUGAAAUGCGCAGAUAUCAGGAGGAACACCGGUGGCGAAGGCGGGUCUCUGGGCCGAAACUGACGCUGAGGCGCGAAAGCGUGGGGAGCAAACAGG
rnacentral:rRNA from 1 species